rnacentral:rRNA from 1 species
GACGAACGCUGGCGGCGUGCCUAAUACAUGCAAGUAGAACGCUGAAGAGAGGAGCUUGCUCUUCUUGGAUGAGUGGCGAACGGGUGAGUAACGCGUAGGUAACCUGCCUUGUAGCGGGGGAUAACUAUUGGAAACGAUAGCUAAUACCGCAUAACAAUGGCUGACACAUGACAUUUAUUUGAAAGGGGCAAUUGCUCCACUACAAGAUGGACCUGCGUUGUAUUAGCUAGUAGGUGAGGUAAUGGCUCACCCAGGCGACGGUACAUAGCCGACCUGAGAGGGUUGUCGGCCCCCACUGGACUUGGGCCCGGCCCCAGCUCCUUCGGGGAGCAGCAGGAGGGAAUCUUCGGCAAUGGGGGCAACCCUGGCCGAACAACGCCGCGUGGGUGGAGGAGGUUUUCGGAUCGUAAAGCUCUGUUGUAAGUCAAGAACGGGUGUGAGAGUGGAAAGUUCACGCUGUGACGGUAGCUUACCAGAAAGGGACGGCUAACUACGUG